rnacentral:rRNA from 1 species
UCCAGACUCCUACGGGAGGCAGCAGUGAGGAAUAUUGGUCAAUGGGCGGGAGCCUGAACCAGCCAAGUCGCGUGAGGGAAGACGGUCCUACGGAUUGUAAACCUCUUUUGCCGGGGAGCAACGGGGUCCUUGCGAGGGUCCGAUGAGAGUACCCGGAGAAAAAGCAUCGGCUAACUCCGUGCCAGCAGCCGCGGUAAUACGUAGGUGGCAAGCGUUAUCCGGAUUUACUGGGUGUAAAGGGCGUGUAGGCGGGAUGGUAAGUCAGAUGUGAAAACUAUGGGCUCAACCCAUAGCCUGCAUUUGAAACUAUCGUUCUUGAGUGUUGGAGAGGCAGGCGGAAUUCCGUGUGUAGCGGUGAAAUGCGUAGAUAUACGGAGGAACACCAGUGGCGAAGGCGGCCUGCUGGACAAUAACUGACGCUGAGGCGCGAAAGCGUGGGGAGUAAACAGGAUUAGAUACCCCAGUAAAA